UACGUAGGGGGCGAGCGUUGUCCGGAAUUACUGGGCGUAAAGGGCUCGUAGGUGGCCAACUAAGUCGGACGUGAAAUCCCUCGGCUUAACCGGGGAACUGCAUCCGAUACUGGAUGGCUUGAGUUCGGGAGAGGGAUGCGGAAUUCCAGGUGUAGCGGUGAAAUGCGUAGAUAUCUGGAGGAACACCGGUGGCGAAGGCGGCAUCCUGGACCGGUAUUGACGCUGAGGCGCGAAAGCCAGGGGAGCAAACGGG
rnacentral:rRNA from 1 species